rnacentral:rRNA from 1 species
CGCGGCCUAUCAGCUUGUUGGUGAGGUAACGGCUCACCAAGGCAACGACGGGUAGCUGGUCUGAGAGGACGAUCAGCCACACUGGAACUGAGAUACGGUCCAGACUCCUACGGGAGGCAGCAGCAGGGAAUCUUGCGCAAUGGGCGAAAGCCUGACGCAGCGACGCCGCGUGGGGGAUGAAGGCCUUAGGGUUGUAAACCCCUUUCACGAGGGAAGAAGAUGACGGUACCUCGAGAAGAAGCCCCGGCCGACUACGUGCCAGCAGCCGCGGUAAGACGUGGGGGGCGAGCGUUGUCCGGAUUUAUUGGGCGUAAAGGGCUCGUAGGCGGCUUGACAAGUCGGCCGUGAAAACCCAGGGCUCAACCCUGGGACGCCGGUCGAUACUGUCAUGGCUAGGGUCCGGUAGAGGGGAAUGGAAUUCCCGGUGUAGCGGUGAAAUGCGCAGAUAUCGGGAGGAACACCAGUAGCGAAGGCGGUUCCCUGGGCCGGUACCGACGCUGAGGAGCGAAAGCGUGGGUAGCAAACAGGAUUAGAUACCCUGGUAGUCCACGCCGUAAACGUUGGGUACUAGGCGUGGCGUCUUAUCAACGGAUGCCGUGCUCGAAGCUAACGCGUUAAGUACCCCGCCUGGGGAGUACGG